CUACUAGUGGUAGAAUUGUGAUAGAAUUCUCGCCUUCCAUGUGAGAGACCCAGGUUCAAUUCCUGGCCAGUACA
rnacentral:tRNA from 1 species